rnacentral:miRNA from 1 species
AAUGUGUUUAUUGUGUAUGUAAAUGUAUAUGUAUGUGUGUGUAUAUAUAUAUAUAUAUAUAUAUAUAUAUAUACACACACAUACAUAUACAUUUACAUACACAAUAAACACAUU